rnacentral:hammerhead_ribozyme from 1 species
ACACUGCUGAUGAGUCCCGAACAGGACGAAACAGCUGUCCAGUGC